rnacentral:lncRNA from 1 species
ACAUGGCCACGGGAGAGUAGGUCAUCUUCUUCUUCUUCUUCUUCUUCUAGUCUUCUUCUUAUUAUUAUUCUUCUUCUAGUCUUCUUCAUCUUCUUCUACUUAUUCUUCUUUUAGUCUCCUUUUUCUUCAUCAUCAUCAUCUUCUUCUUCUUCUUCUUCUUCUUCUUCAUCUUCUUCUUCUUCUUCUUAGCUAAUUAUCCUCCAAAAUGACAAAAUUAACUUAUUUAGUUCAUUUAUG